rnacentral:rRNA from 1 species
UACGGAGGGUGCAAGCGUUAAUCGGAAUUACUGGGCGUAAAGCGUGCGUAGGUGGUUUGUUAAGUCCGUUGUGAAAGCCCCGAGCUCAACUUGGGAAUUGCAGUGGAUACUGGCAAGCUGGAGUGCGGUAGAGGAAGGUGGAAUUCCCGGUGUAGCGGUGAAAUGCGUAGAGAUCGGAAAGAACACCAACGGCGAAAGCACUCUGCUGGGCCGACACUGACACUGAGAGACGAAAGCUAGGGGAGCGAAUGGG